rnacentral:rRNA from 1 species
AUUGAACGCUGGCGGCAUGCCUUACACAUGCAAGUCGAACGGCAGCACGGGGGCAACCCUGGUGGCGAGUGGCGAACAGGUGAGUAAUGCAUCGGAACGUGCCCAGUAGUGGGGGAUAACCAGUCGAAAGGCUGGCUAAUACCGCCUACGACCGACGGGUGAAAGCGGGGGACCGUAAGGCCUCGCGCUAUUGGAGCGGCAGAUGUCUGAUUAGCGAGUUGGCGGGGUAAGGGCCCACAAAGGCGACGAUCAGUAGCUGGUCGGAGAGGACGACCAGCCACACUGGGACUGAGACACGGCCCAGACUCCUACGGGAGGCAGCAGUGGGGAAUUUUGGACAAUGGGCGCAAGCCUGAUCCAGCCAUGCCGCGUGCGGGAAGAAGGCCUUCGGGUUGUAAACCGCUUUUGGCAGGAACGAAACGGCGCAAGCCAAUACCUUGCGCUAAUGACGGUACCUUGCGAGAAAGCCACGGCUAACUACGUGCCAGCCGCCGCGGUAAGAC